UACACAGAUUUUUAAAGGACGAGGGCAGGA
rnacentral:piRNA from 1 species